CGUCGCAUAGCUUAAUUUAAAGCACCCCGCUUACGCCGGGACAAUACCUGUUAAACCCAGGUUGCCUCGA
rnacentral:tRNA from 2 species